GUUGCGCGCGCAGGUUCUGAAAAAUUUCCACUACUUCUGCUACAAUAAUAGAUAUGCUCUCCUCCUCCCCUCCGCCCAUGACCACGUGAAAUGUUUAGUCAUAUCUUUUACCCAGGGUGGGGCAGGGUAGGGCCGGCUGCUAGAAAGGAGGCGCCGGUAGUCAGGAUGGAAAAAGAAUGCGCAACACAAUGUUGUUAAUUAAUAUAAUACCCUGAGCGAGAAGCGAGCAAGUUCUGGCUUGUGGAAGAUACAUUCCCCGGCUAUAUAUGCAUUUGCUUGUCUCGCCCACUUCUAGUUCUCAUCCAUGUAAAGAAUCAAGUUCCUUUUAGAGUCGGGGAAAGGAAGUGGCCUUUGAAGCAAGAAGCCGCGCGAUCUGGGCUGAUAAGCUUAAAACCAUAUUAAUUUAGACCUGUACCCCGUGUUUAGCAUUUCACUGAUGAAAAGAAGCACAUGUGGAUGUGUAGGCCAAACAGCCAGGAGGCAGGAUGACAGCUUUGUUACUACAAAUGGAAAGAAGGUAAUCAAGUGUAUGCAGACCACAUUUUUCCAGAUUACAGAAGCAGAUGAGCCAAGCUUGCAACAUUUAAUACCUUCCAACAUUUUGCAUACAAAAAUAAGGAUACGUUUGUAACAACCAGUUUUCAUGCUAAAAUAUGCCCAAGCCCUCCACUCACUAUUAAACAUUGCUCAAGGCUG